UUAAGUGACUAAGCGUACAAGGUGGAUGCCUUGGCAAUCAGAGGCGACGAAGGACGUGCUAAUCUGCGAAAAGCUUGGAUGAGUCGAUAAGAGGCGUUUAAUCCAAGAUGUCCGAAUGGGGAAACCCAGUAGAUGAAGAAUCUACUAUCACUUACUGAAUCCAUAGGUAAGUGAGGCAAACCGGGAGAACUGAAACAUCUAAGUACCCCGAGGAAAAGAAAUCAACCGAGAUUUCGUUAGUAGCGGCGAGCGAACGCGAAGGAGCCUGUUAGUGAUAAUGACAGAGACAGAGGAACAAGCUGGGAAGCUUGGCGAUACAGGGUGAUAGCCCCGUACUCGAAGUCCAGGUCAUGGUACUAAGCUAACGACAAGUAGGGCGGGACACGUGAUAUCCUGUUUGAAGAUGGGGGGACCAUCCUCCAAGGCUAAAUACUCCUGAUUGACCGAUAGUGAACCAGUACUGUGAAGGAAAGGCGAAAAGAACCCCGGUGAGGGGAGUGAAAUAGAACCUGAAACCUUGUACGUACAAGCAGUGGGAGCCCUUUAAGGGUGACUGCGUACCUUUUGUAUAAUGGGUCAGCGACUUAUAUUUUGUAGCGAGGUUAACCGAAUAGGGGAGCCGAAGGGAAACCGAGUCUUAACUGGGCGUCUAGUUGCAAGGUAUAGACCCGAAACCCGGUGAUCUAGCCAUGGGCAGGUUGAAGGUUGGGUAACACUAACUGGAGGACCGAACCGACUAAUGUUGAAAAAUUAGCGGAUGACUUGUGGCUGGGGGUGAAAGGCCAAUCAAACCGGGAGAUAGCUGGUUCUCCCCGAAAUCUAUUUAGGUAGAGCCUUGAGCGGACACCUUCGGGGGUAGAGCACUGUUUCGGCUAGGGGUCCAUCCCGGAUUACCAACCCGAUGCAAACUACGAAUACCGAAGAGUGAUACUCAGGAGACACACGGCGGGUGCUAACGUCCGUCGUGGAGAGGGAAACAACCCAGACCGCCAGCUAAGGUCCCAAAGUCUAUAUUAAGUGGGAAACGAAGUGGGAAGGCUUAGACAGCUAGGAUGUUGGCUUAGAAGCAGCCAUCAUUUAAAGAAAGCGUAAUAGCUCACUAGUCGAGUCGGCCUGCGCGGAAGAUGUAACGGGGCUCAAAUAUAGCACCGAAGCUGCGGCAUCAGUAGCAAUACUGUUGGGUAGGGGAGCGUUCUGUAAGCGGAUGAAGGUGGCUCGAGAGGGCUGCUGGACGUAUCAGAAGUGCGAAUGCUGACAUAAGUAACGAUAAAACGGGUGAAAAACCCGUUCGCCGGAAGACCAAGGGUUCCUGUCCAACGUUAAUCGGGGCAGGGUGAGUCGGCCCCUAAGGCGAGGCUGAAAAGCGUAGUCGAUGGGAAACGGGUUAAUAUUCCCGUACUUGGAUAAACUGCGAUGUGGGGACGGAGUAGGUUAGGUUAUCGCACUGUUGGAUAUGUGCGUUUAAGUUUGUAGGUGAGAAGUUUAGGUAAAUCCGGACUUCUUUAACACUGAGAGAUGAUGACGAGGCUCUACGGAGCUGAAGUAACCGAUACCACACUUCCAGGAAAAGCCACUAAGCUUCAGGUUUAUCUAAACCGUACUGAAAACCGACACAGGUGGUCAGGUAGAGAAUACUCAGGCGCUUGAGAGAACUCGGGUGAAGGAACUAGGCAAAAUAGCACCGUAACUUCGGGAGAAGGUGCGCCGGCGUAGAUUGUAGUCCCUUGCGGGCGAAGGUUGAACCGGUCGAAGAUACCAGCUGGCUGCAACUGUUUAUUAAAAACACAGCACUCUGCAAACACGAAAGUGGACGUAUAGGGUGUGAUGCCUGCCCGGUGCUGGAAGGUUAAUUGAUGGUGUAAUCGAAAGAGAAGCUCCUGAUCGAAGCCCCAGUAAACGGCGGCCGUAACUAUAACGGUCCUAAGGUAGCGAAAUUCCUUGUCGGGUAAGUUCCGACCUG
rnacentral:rRNA from 1 species